rnacentral:rRNA from 1 species
CCUACGGGAGGCAGCAGUAAGGAAUAUUGCUCAAUGGGCGAAACCCUGAAGCAGCCACGCCGCGUGGAGGAUGAAUGUUUUCGGAUUGUAAACUCCUUUUUUUAGAGAAGAUAAUGACGGUAUCUAACGAAUAAGCACCGGCUAACUCCGUGCCAGCAGCCGCGGUAAUACGGAGGGUGCAAGCGUUACUCGGAAUCAUUGGGCGUAAAGAGCGCGUAGGCGGGAUAGCAAGUCAGAUGUGAAAUUCUAUGGCUUAACCAUAGAACUGCAUUUGAAACUGUUAUUCUAGAGUAUGGGAGAGGUAGGUGGAAUUCUUGGUGUAGGGGUAAAAUGCGUAGAGAUCAAGAGGAAUACUCAUUGCGAAGGCGACAUGCUAGAACAUAACUGACGCUGAUGCGCGAAAGCGUGGGGAGCAAACAGGAUUAGAUACCCGAGUAGUC